GCAUUAAACCAUUCCCCUGGGGAGUACGACCGCAAGGUUGAAAUCAAAAAGAAAAAACGGGGGCCCGCACAAGCGGUGGAGCAUGUGGUUUAAUUCGAAGCAACGCGAAGAACCUUACCAGGUCUUGACAUCUUUUGAUCACCUGAAGAGAUCAGGUUUCCCCUUCGGGGGCAAAAUGACAGGUGGUGCAUGGUUGUCGUCAGCUCGUGUCGUGAGAUGUUGGGUUAAGUCCCGCAACGAGCGCAACCCUUAUGACUAGUUGCCAGCAUUUAGUUGGGCACUCUAGUAAGACUGCCGGUGGGCAAACCGGAGGAAGGUGGGGAUGACGUCAAAUCAUCAUGCCCCUUAUGACCUGGGCUACACACGUGCUACAAUGGAUGGUACAACGAGUUGCGAGACCGCGAGGUCAAGCUAAUCUCUUAAAGCCAUUCUCAGUUCGGACUGUAGGCUGCAACUCGCCUACACGAAGUCGAAUCGCAGAUCCAGCUUAGGAAUGGGAU
rnacentral:rRNA from 2 species